rnacentral:rRNA from 1 species
AACGAACGCUGGCGGCAGGCUUAACACAUGCAAGUCGAACGCAUCGCAAGAUGAGUGGCAGACGGGUGAGUAACGCGUGGGAACAUACCCUUUUCUACGGAAUAGCUCUGGGGAACUGGAAUUAAUACCGUAUACGCCCUACGGGGGGAAGAUUUAUCGGGGAAGGAUUGGCCCGCGUUGGAUUAGCUAGUUGGUGGGGUAAAGGCCUACCAAGGCGACGAUCCAUAGCUGGUCUGAGAGGAUGAUCAGCCACAUUGGGACUGAGACACGGCCCAAAAUCCUACGGGAGGCAGCGGUGGGGAAUAUUGGACAAUGGGCGCAAGCUUGAUCCAGCCAUGCCGCGUGAGUGAUGAAGGCCUUAGGGUUGUAAAGCUCUUUCACCGAUGAAGAUAAUGACGGUAGUCGGAGAAGAAGCCCCGGCUAACUUCGUGCCAGCCGCCGCCGUAA